GAUUGAUUAGUUAAUUAGAACACUAACAUCAUUUUGUGCAGGCUCGCCAAAUCCAUAAACGGAUUCGGGUUGUGCGUGUAGUGACUACCAUAGACAAUCAACGAAUCGUUGGGUUGCUUAUUCCAAAUGCAGCAGUUGAAUCAGUGCUUCAAGAUUUGGCUUGGGCCCAAGACAUCGACCAAUGAUAGGAACACUGAAGUUUUGUUUUGUAAAUUUCCUUCAGAAGGGCCGUCCGUCUGCAAUUUUCUGCUCUACGCAUUCAAGAUGCAGCAAAGUUGGUCCGCACUAUGGAGUUAAACUGAAAAACGUUGCCUCAGCAUCACAAUGGAAAACACGAUUAUUCUUGAAAUUCAUGAUCCUGACCUGGAUACUAUAGUGGAAAUUUAAUUUUUCGGGCCCCAUUUUUGGGCAUAUAAUUAUUUGUAAACCAUAAGAUAAUUGUAUAGGAAACGAGUUAUAUUCAAGUGGACUUAGUUUGAUGCGAGGAGCUUGUAACACACAAUUCAUAAUAUAGUUGAAAAUGCAAAAUUUAAGUUUGUUUUCAAGCA